UGCAGUCGAACGAUGAAGCUGGAGCUUGCUCCGGCCGAUUAGUGGCGAACGGGUGAGUAACACGUGAGCAAUCUGCCCUUGACUCUGGGAUAACUGCGGGAAACUGUAGCUAAUACCGGAUACUUUCCUCGCUGGGCAUCCAGCGGGGAAGAAAGAAUUUCGGUCAAGGAUGAGCUCGCGGCCUAUCAGCUAGUUGGUGAGGUAAAGGCUCACCAAGGCGACGACGGGUAGCCGGCCUGAGAGGGUGACCGGCCACACUGGAACUGAGACACGGUCCAGACUCCUACGGGAGGCAGCAGUGGGGAAUAUUGCACAAUGGGCGAAAGCCUGAUGCAGCAACGCCGCGUGAGGGAUGAAGGCCUUCGGGUUGUAAACCUCUUUUAGCAGGGAAGAAGCGAAAGUGACGGUACCUGCAGAAAAAGCACCGGCUAACUACGUGCCAGCAGCCGCGGUAAUACGUAGGGUGCAAGCGUUGUCCGGAAUUAUUGGGCGUAAAGAGCUCGUAGGCGGUUUGUCACGUCUGCUGUGAAAAUCCGAGGCUCAACCUCGGACUUGCAGUGGGUACGGGCAGGCUAGAGUGCGGUAGGGGAGAAGGGAAUUCCUGGUGUAGCGGUGGAAUGCGCAGAUAUCAGGAGGAACACCAAUGGCGAAGGCACUUCUCUGGGCCGUAACUGACGCUGAGGAGCGAAAGCGUGGGGAGCGAACAGGAUUAGAUACCCUGGUAGUCCACGCCGUAAACGGUGG
rnacentral:rRNA from 1 species